GGUGGCUCAGUGGUAGAGCACUUGCCUUGCAUGCAUGAGGUCCUGGGUUCGAUUCCUCAGUACCA
rfam:Dipodomys ordii contig_54150, whole genome shotgun sequence.